rnacentral:rRNA from 5 species
GAAGAGUUUGAUCAUGGCUCAGAUUGAACGCUGGCGGCAGGCCUAACACAUGCAAGUCGAACGGUAACAGGAAGCAGCUUGCUGCUUUGCUGACGAGUGGCGGACGGGUGAGUAAUGUCUGGGAAACUGCCUGAUGGAGGGGGAUAACUACUGGAAACGGUGGCUAAUACCGCAUAACGUCGCAAGACCAAAGAGGGGGACCUUCGGGCCUCUUGCCAUCAGAUGUGCCCAGAUGGGAUUAGCUUGUUGGUGAGGUAACGGCUCACCAAGGCGACGAUCCCUAGCUGGUCUGAGAGGAUGACCAGCCACACUGGAACUGAGACACGGUCCAGACUCCUACGGGAGGCAGCAGUGGGGAAUAUUGCACAAUGGGCGCAAGCCUGAUGCAGCCAUGCCGCGUGUAUGAAGAAGGCCUUCGGGUUGUAAAGUACUUUCAGCGGGGAGGAAGGUGUUGUGGUUAAUAACCGCAGCAAUUGACGUUACCCGCAGAAGAAGCACCGGCUAACUCCGUGCCAGCAGCCGCGGUAAUACGGAGGGUGCAAGCGUUAAUCGGAAUUACUGGGCGUAAAGCGCACGCAGGCGGUCUGUCAAGUCGGAUGUGAAAUCCCCGGGCUCAACCUGGGAACUGCAUUCGAAACUGGCAGGCUUGAGUCUUGUAGAGGGGGGUAGAAUUCCAGGUGUAGCGGUGAAAUGCGUAGAGAUCUGGAGGAAUACCGGUGGCGAAGGCGGCCCCCUGGACAAAGACUGACGCUCAGGUGCGAAAGCGUGGGGAGCAAACAGGAUUAGAUACCCUGGUAGUCCACGCCGUAAACGAUGUCUACUUGGAGGUUGUGCCCUUGAGGCGUGGCUUCCGGAGCUAACGCGUUAAGUAGACCGCCUGGGGAGUACGGCCGCAAGGUUAAAACUCAAAUGAAUUGACGGGGGCCCGCACAAGCGGUGGAGCAUGUGGUUUAAUUCGAUGCAACGCGAAGAACCUUACCUGGUCUUGACAUCCACAGAACUUUCCAGAGAUGGAUUGGUGCCUUCGGGAACUGUGAGACAGGUGCUGCAUGGCUGUCGUCAGCUCGUGUUGUGAAAUGUUGGGUUAAGUCCCGCAACGAGCGCAACCCUUAUCCUUUGUUGCCAGCGGUCCGGCCGGGAACUCAAAGGAGACUGCCAGUGAUAAACUGGAGGAAGGUGGGGAUGACGUCAAGUCAUCAUGGCCCUUACGACCAGGGCUACACACGUGCUACAAUGGCGCAUACAAAGAGAAGCGACCUCGCGAGAGCAAGCGGACCUCAUAAAGUGCGUCGUAGUCCGGAUUGGAGUCUGCAACUCGACUCCAUGAAGUCGGAAUCGCUAGUAAUCGUGGAUCAGAAUGCCACGGUGAAUACGUUCCCGGGCCUUGUACACACCGCCCGUCACACCAUGGGAGUGGGUUGCAAAAGAAGUAGGUAGCUUAACCUUCGGGAGGGCGCUUACCACUUUGUGAUUCAUGACUGGGGUGAAGUCGUAACAAGGUAACCGUAGGGGAACCUGC